rnacentral:piRNA from 1 species
UGGUGAUACCUUACUGUGCCCGCUGUCUC